rnacentral:tRNA from 1 species
GCGGGUGUGGUUCAAUGGUAGAACAUCAGCUUCCCAAGCUGGGGACGUGGGUUCGAUUCCCAUCACCCGCU